rnacentral:rRNA from 1 species
AGCGAACGCUGGCGGCAGGCCUAACACAUGCAAGUCGAACGAAGUCUUCGGACUUAGUGGCGGACGGGUGAGUAACACGUGGGAACGUACCUUUAGGUUCGGAACAACUCAGGGAAACUUGAGCUAAUACCGGAUAAGCCCUUCGGGGGAAAGAUUUAUAGCCUUUAGAGCGGCCCGCGUUAGAUUAGCUAGUUGGUGAGUUACAGUCUCACCAAGGCCACGAUCUAUAGCUGGUCUGAGAGGAUGAUCAGCCACACUGGGACUGAGACACGGCCCAGACUCCUACGGGAGGCAGCAGUGGGGAAUCUUGCGCAAUGGGCGAAAGCCUGACGCAGCCAUGCCGCGUGAAUGAUGAAGGUCUUAGGAUUGUAAAAUUCUUUUACCAGGGACGAUAAUGACGGUACCUGGAGAAAAAGCCCCGGCUAACUUCGUGCCAGCAGCCGCAGUAA